rnacentral:siRNA from 1 species
UCACAUUUACAACUUUGGUUC